GCCUUCGUGGUGUAAUUGGAAACAUACUCGACAUGUAUUCGAGAGGUCGAUGGUUCGAGUCCUGGCGAGGGCA
rnacentral:tRNA from 1 species